UACAAUAUGUCUUUCACCUUUGAGACAUUCUCAAUAUGGCGAUACCAAGCAAGGAAACGUUGGCCCUUAAGGCCACUUUUGUCAAGUAUAAUGGUGGGUAUAAUUUUAGGCAUGUCAUUCACUACAUAACAUAACAGAAAUCGUAUUAGAUUGUUUGUUUAAAACUAUUUGAUUGGGUCUUUGAAUCAAAUAGUACCACCCACUAUUUUUGGCAAAUUCCACAUCCCUCAAUAGAAUUCGAGAGUUAUAUUGAACUCUUAGCGGGUUAUGGGAGACUCACCAUUACCAAGCCCACCUCACGAUGAUACGAUGUUUGGCUAGCAAAAAUAAUGAUGAGAGAAUAACGCAUUAUUCAUUUACAACUUUUGUAAUUACCCAUCCGUUUGGCCUCUAGAGAAUGUUGCCUCACGAUGAUACGAUGUUGGCUCCAUUGCACUUAGUUUAAGUUAUUCCCACCAUGCUUAGUUUGUGAAGGGGUUCAAGAAUAGCCUCACGAUGAUACGAUGUCGGCUACCCUCGUUGCCUACACUAACCUCAUCAUAUGUUUAUGGACUCCUCCUGGAUGUAAGCACAUACUUUGUACUCCCCCAUGAUAGGGUGAAGCCGGUGUAUGAGUCACAAACGCUUGGAGCCCACCACGGUGGAAGGCCUACGAAGAGAUAUUCUAAACAUCUCUCGCUUAUCAACUUAAAUCUUCAUUUUGAGGGAGUAGUUUUGGGCUACAUCAAAAUCAUUUUAAUCAUAUUAAAAGAACUUGGGCCUAUCACAACUAUUGGUCCAAGUUAAUAUGAAUUAGUAGCAUAUAAUACUCCCACUGUUUCGUUGAAACAAGCGAGACUAUAUGGAACUACUAAUGAAUGCAUUGAAUCCUCAUAUGGACUAUGUAGUCAUAUUAGGUUUUAGGAUGAUUAUGAACCGAUUGAUUUGAUCCAACACGAGCCUUGUGUUGGACCUUGGGUUUAAGGUAGAUAGUUGUUGAUUUUAGUUACACGUUUAAUCCAAUUAAACCGUUAUUUCCUAUUGGGCGUUGGACCCAACUAUUUCAUUUUGCAUACAUAUAAACAAAAGGAAUACAUGAAAUAAUAAGAAGGGCUUAUGCCCUUUUACAACACAAAUCAAAUGAUGAACUUAUGUCCAUUUACAACAACUUGAAUUAAUCACAUUACAUUCAAAUCUACACUACUAAAACCCAAACAUUCAUAAUGUAUAUCGGCCAAUCACAUAGCUCAAUUAUCGUGGCCUUUGGUUCAUAAUCACCAUUUUCUUAAUCAAUCACAUUAACUAAGAAAACAACUUUAAACAAUUGGUUUUUGGAUCCAUAGAAUUGAUUUAAAUGGAACUAAAUGAAAUGAAAAUCCAAUUCUCAUUAAAGAGACAAAACAAUUUUGUUCUCAUCCUUUUGGGCCAAUAGGAAACUAUGACCACAACAAUUGGGCCAUAAUGCAAAUACAAAAAACUUUUGGGGUCACUUUGUAAAGACACAAUAGUCCACAACUUCAUGUAAUUACAACUAGAUCCCAAAAUUUUAAUAAUGUAAAAACAUCAUUAAAGGAUCAAAACAAUUUGUCCUUUAGAGUUUUAGGGCCUUAACGUAAAAACGUAAACUUUUGGGCCAAAAUGCAAAUACACAAAAGUAUCUAAAACUUUAUGUAAUUGCACAAAAGGCCCCAAAAGUACCCCCACUAGGGUGGCCGGCCAUUUAAUGAAAAAUUGAAAAAUUGCUAAAAAGUUUUUGCAAGUUGAUUUUGGUGGGUGAGGUAAAGUUGAUUUGGAUAGGUUUGUAAGAGAUUUUUGUCUAACAUUAAAACCAACAAUAAUACUUCACCAAUAAACAUCACCCAUCAAUUAUAAAUCAAUAAUAUACCAAAACUUUAUGAAAAACAUAAAACUUUUGAAUCAAAACUUCAAAACUUUAUGUUCUUGGCAAGAACACCAAGAACAAUGAAGAACACCAUGAAAACUCAUAAUAGCCCCAUGGAUGUUUUCAUUCACCAAAACUCAAUUUUUCACCUCUUAAAAGAGGGCUAAUAUCCUAGGGUACUUAGGGGUUCCAAAAGUCACCUUAAAACCAUUUUAACAAGACAAACAUGAACCCAAAAAGUCACCCUAAGGAUUUGGCCGAAUUUCCCAAAACUCAUGGCACCAAAUUUUAGUUCCAAUAUUCAUGCUUAAAUGAAAUACAUCUUCAACAUUUGAGAUGCUAAAUUUUCUAGCAAAAUUUAUAUAUUCAA
rnacentral:lncRNA from 1 species